rnacentral:rRNA from 1 species
AUGAAGUGGAUAGCUUGGCUCGAUAUCUGACGAAGGAUGUGACAAGCUGCAAUAAGCCUUGGGGAGAUGCAAGCAAUCUGCGAACCAAGGAUUUCUGAAUGUGACUUCACUAAUGUGUACCGAAAGGUACAGGAACUCAGGGAAUUGAAACGUCUUAGUACCUGAUGGAAAAGAAAUCAAUUGAGAUGCUGUGAGUAAGGGCGAUUGAAAACAGCACAAGACAAACUGAAUCUGCUUAUGUAAGUAAGUAGAGAUGUGGUGUGGUAAGGCAAGUCUUUUGAUCCGACUUUGCUGACUUGAAGUGCUCUGGAAUGGGCCACGAAACAGGGUGAGAGUCCCGUAGAGGAAGGCGAAAGGAUUUUGAUUUGUUCUUGAGUAGGGUCUCUUGGAUAUGAGGCCUGAACCUGGGAGGCAACAACUUCCAAUCUUAAAUAUACGUCGAGUCCGAUAGUGUACGAGUACCGUGAGGGAAAGCUGAAAAGAACUCUUGAUCGAGAGUGAAAAGACCUUGAAACUUCAUAGCUAUAGAGGGAUACGCGCCCUUCGGGGUGUGUAUCGUGCGUUUUGAAUAACGUGCCAGGGAGUGCAUUUCUGUGGCGAGGAUAAUCUGUUAAAGAGUAUCCAUAGGGAAACCAAAGCCCCGCAAGUUUUACUGAGGGGGGUGGUAUGAAAGUGCCAUUAGUCACAGGGAUGCGACCCGAAGCCGGACGAUCUACUCCUGGGCAAGGUGAAGCGGCUGUAAUAGGUCGUGGAGGUCUGAAGAGGUGCUACGAGCAUGUGCUCUUGUGACCUGGGAGUAGGGGUAAAAAGCCAAUCGAGUCCGGUGAUAGCUGGUUCCUGCCAAAUUUGGCCGUAGUCAAGCCUCGGAUGAGGUAGUUAAGGGGGUAGAGAUACGGAUUGGGAAUUUAGGGGCUUAACAGCUUCGGUUUCUUGUCCAACUCCGAAUACCUUAACGCCGUAGACUCCGGGAGACGGAGGCUCGGGGUAAGCUUGAGUCUCGAAAGGGGAACAACCCAGACUUAAGUUAAGGUCCCUAAAUCAUGGUUAAGUGUUAAAGGGUGAAGGUUGUUUGUAGUCAAAGACAGCAAGGAGGUUGGCUUAGAAGCAGCCAUUCUUUAAAAAGUGCGUAACAGCUUACUUGUCUAGAUUACAAGCGCCGAAAAUGGACGGGGCUAAACCAUGUACCGAUACUUAAGACCAGCGCAAGCUGUGUGGUAGGCAGGCGUACCGGCGGAUGAGAAGUUAGCAUGGGAGUGCUAGUGGAUCCGUUGGUAAUGAAAAUCCUGGCGGUAGUAGGAACUGAGCAGAGUGAGAACCUCUGUCACCGUAAGGGCAAGGGUUUCUUGACAAUGUCCAUCAGUCAAGAGUUAGUUAGUCCUAACCCACCUCAUAGCAUGAGGGAGAGGGAAAGGGAAACCGGUUAAUAUUCCGGUACUUCGAAAGUAUGCGUGGCAACACAAGGUUUAUUUCUGACUGUUCGCGCUAGGCUUACACAACUUGUCUGUUGUGUUAAUUUUUGCAGCUCAUUGGAGUGCUGUCAUGGCGAGAAUUUGAGCAACAUGAAGAACAGCGGUACUCAAGUAUCGUUAAGCUGAUGCGUGGAUGCCUUGAAAAGGGAAUAAAUACAGAUCUUUUGAAACUAUACCCAGAACCGGCACAGGUGCCCCUAGGUGAGAAGCCUCAGGUGUGAAGGGAUAAUGUAGUUAAGGGAAUUCGGCAAUCUAGCCCCGUAUCUUCGGUAGAAGGGGUCCCUGGUUUUGUACAUGUAUGUGUGCGAUCUCAGGGUGCAAUAACUAAGGCGGUCCGACUGUUUAACAAAAACAUAACCAACUGCUAGGCUGUAAAGCUGUGAAUAGUUGGUGACGUCUGCCCAGUGCCAGUACUUUAAACUCCUUUUCAAGGGAGCUAAGAGCUGGUAAACGGCGGGAGUAACUAUAACUCUCUUAAGGUAGCGAAACGCCUUGCCGUUUGAUUGACGGCCUGCAUGAAUGGCGUAACGAGAUCGCUGCUGUCCCUAACUACAACCCUCCGAACACUCUUUUCUGGUGCAAAGGCCAGAGACUUCCAGUGGGAAGCGAAGACCCCGUGAAACUUUACUGUAGCCUGUUGUUGUGUGGCGAAGUUGAUUGUAUAGCGUAAGUGGGAGUUGUUUAAGCUUGGACGCCAGUUCAAGUGUAGACGCCGAUGUAACACCACUCUUUUAGCUUUGUCAUGCUUGACCUGCAAUGCAGGGACAGCGAUAGGUGGACAGUUUGGCUGGGGCGGCACGCUGUUGAAAGGAUAUCAACAGCGCCCAAAGGUUUGCUCCGACGGGUCAGAAAUCCGUUUUAGAGUGUAAGAGCAAAAGCAAGCCUAACUGGGAUGGUUACUCGAGCCAUUUCAGUAUCGAAAGAUUGGUCUAGCGAUCCAUUACUUCUCCUUGUUGGGGGGUAGUGUUGACCGAAAAGUUACUCCGGGGAUAACAGAGUUGUCGCGCUCGAGAGCUCGUAUCGACGGCGCGGCUUGCUACAUCGAUGUCGGCUCUUCCUAUCCUGGCCGUGCAGAAGCGGCCAAGGGUGUGGGUGUUCACCAAUUAAAAGGGAUCGUGAGCUGGGUUCAGUACGCUGUGAGGCAGUAUGUAUGAUAUCUACUGGAAGUGUAGGAGUAUCUGAUAGGAAGGCUUUUUUAGUACGAGAGGAACGAAAGGUCGAUGCCACUGGUUUACCGGUUAUCCGACAGGGUAGGCCGGGCAGCUACGCAUUAGGGGAUAAGCGCUGAAAGCAUCUAAGCGUGAAGCCCUCCUAGAAAAGAGAUACAAGAAUGCCUAUAGAACAUAGGGUUGAUAGAAACGGUGUGUAC